GGUCAAAUCCCUGCAGCAAUGAACGGAUUAUGCAUAUAGCCAGAAGCAGUUCCUUGACCCUCCAUUGAACCUAAGUCCUAGGCGCUGUUUUGGACCUGGGCCACGGCAGGUCCAGCAGGUCAGUGCCCUGUGGAUGUCAGUGUCCCUCGCUGCCCUGGGAAUGGGCUUGUGGCCACGUAGGAGCCUGAGACAAGGACAGCUGCCUAACCUGUAGCCACCACUUCUCAUGGAACCCACUUUGGUAGCCUCCCAAUUGGCCUCCAGUCUCUGCGAUCCACCCUCCACAAGCUUCAAAAACCAACUCAGCGGAUCACUCUUGGAUUCUUUAUAACAUUAGGGCCUUUCUUUUUUCUCCAGAAUAAAACAGAAUCCCCUCAUGCUGGCAUUUCAGGCUUUUCCCCUCCCAAUUUCAUCGAUGGAGAGGCCCUCUCUUAAGUCAGAAUGGCUUCCUUUUGGUCCCCGCAGGCCAGGAGGAGUCACUAGAUCUCUCUGGGCUGUAGUCAACUCUCCAAGAAUACAGGGGGUAAAGAAGUUGCCUAGAUCCGUGGAUUCCCAGAUUCAGCCCCGGUUCCUUAUAUAUAUUUCUACCUUGUUUGACACAUAAAAAAGCAAGAAAAAAACAAAUUGAAAAAAACUAUUUGUUCGCGCAUCAGGCGCAACUUGCACCCAAGUUCAUCGGUUUUCUUUUGGAGGUGGAUAAUAUUGUUUUCCAACCCGAGUCCUCUGGAGUUUCUUGGAAGAUGGCAUCGAUGAGAGGGGCUCCUCGUUACAAUGUGGGGGUUAAUGUGUACGAGGGCCCGGCUCUGCUCGCUCUCCUCCGCCUCGGCCCGCCCUUCAUCAC
rnacentral:lncRNA from 1 species